GGGAACCUCUGUGAUGCAAUCCGCUCCCGUUGCCAUAGGAGACAGGCCGCUGGGCGGAGGAGUGCCCACAACAUCUCACUUGCUGCUAGGUGCUUUGCCACCUAUAACAGGUACGCCUGAAAAAAAAAACACACAGCUUAGAUCUGAUUGGUUGCUCUGAAAAAUGCAGACACCGAUUUGCCAAGACAGUAUGAUGAAUGCUUCUAGGACACUUCAGCCGGGAUGGUAUACGUCUGUAUGUUCGAAAAAGAGAAACACACAUAGGAGAGAUAUUGGCGCUGCAAACCCCGGUAUAUAUGAUAAAAGGACAUUUUCCCCAGUGGGGCGUUGGACAGCAAUAUAAACGUGAUCGAAGAAUUGUUUGUUAAAUAAUAGUAUAAAACAUAUUUAUUUGA